GACGAACGCUGGCGGCGUGCUUAACACAUGCAAGUCGAACGGUAAGGCCCUUCGGGGUACACGAGUGGCGAACGGGUGAGUAACACGUGGGUGAUCUGCCCUGCACUUCGGGAUAAGCCUGGGAAACUGGGUCUAAUACCGGAUAGGACUCCGCACUGCAUGGUCUGGGGUGGAAAGAUUGUGCGGUGUGGGAGGGGCCCGCGGCCUAUCAGCUUGUUGGUGGGGUGAUGGCCUACCAAGGCGACGACGGGUAGCCGGCCUGAGAGGGUGACCGGCCACACUGGACUGAGAUACGGCCCAGAAUCCUACGGGAGGCAGCAGUGGGGAAUAUUGCACAAUGGGCGCAAGCCUGAUGCAGCGACGCCGCGUGAGGGAUGACGGCCUUCGGGUUGUAAACCUCUUUCAGCAUCGACGAAGCGAAAGUGACGGUAGUUGCAGAAGAAGGACCGGCCAACUACGUGCCAGCAGCCGCAGUAA
rnacentral:rRNA from 1 species